rnacentral:lncRNA from 1 species
AGAACUGGCAGCUGUUAGGAGAAGACGGGGUGAUUUGCAGAUGGCAGUCCUGGACUUGGAAGUGCAGAUGUGGGGCCCCAGGAACACUCAAGAUGCAUGUGUUUGGGGAGCAUAUGUAUUGUCCCCACAAAUCACUUUCUGCGCUCCAAGAGGGGCUAGUUGUUGCCGGUGGGAAGCCAAGCCCAGGUGCCUCCGGGUUCAGGUGACUGGAAAAGCCAGGGCAGGACUGGAGUAUUACUUAUCGGAGCUGCGUCUGACACCGGCCCGACACCUCGUAAAAUAGGGAACUGCGCCUCUCUGCCUCACCCCGCGCCGCUCGCCAGGCCACCAAGCCGGGAAAGGCGGAGCGAGGGGAAGCCGAACAAGCGGGAUCGGCCGUCCGCGCGCGGAGGGGUUCCUAGACUGGAGAGCAGAAACUACCCGCGUCCCGGGACUUGGCAAGCCCCGUCGAGCCCCGGGACACAACGGGGAAGGGAGAGACAAAGCCGAGCCGCCUCUCCUGGCCAGCCCGGAACCGAAAGUGGGUCCGUAGAGAGCCCAGAGUCCUGGGGGAACAGAUGGGCAAAGGGCUCUAGGAGGUGAUGGAACUCAGGCCCGAAGGGCAGGCAGCCCACAGGAUACCAAGCCUUAACGAACUACGCCAGAAGAAUGGGCGUAGGGCCCACAGCCCCUCACACAACCCAGGCCAAGCUCCCUCGUACACUCAGACCAGGAGAAGAAACAGACACGCAAUACACAAGCCCCGCUCCCUUGGAGCCUACACUUGGGCGAACACACCACUGCUGUUUGCAGUAUCCCGAGACAGGCCCGGCAGGCGUGAGCUAAGAGGCCUCGGGCCCGAACUUGGGAUUUGAGGCUCUCUCACAUCGCCGGUCCCAGCGGCAGCGCCUGAGGCACAGCCAAGACCAUCCGAGGUCCCCGGGCCGCGCGCAGGUAGCAGACUUCUUCAGAACUGGGGGAGCUAAAGAGAGAGUGGGCUUAGAGCCCAGGCCUCCCUGGAUCCCAGAUCCUCGCCUCCGCCUACAGCCAAGCCCCUCAGCUUUUGCCCAGAGCUGCUGACUUCCUCGCCGCCUCCCUGCGCAAUGGGACCUAGAGAUAAGCCCCAAGCCCGGGUGCUAGUCCAGGCAGAGUCGGGUGCUAGUCCAGGCAGAGUCCAGUGCUAGUCCGCGGCCUCAACAGAGCUGUCGGCUGGGCUCCGGAAGCCCACCCGGAACCUGAUGGAGGCAGCGAAUUCCUCAGAGCAGAGGACACUGCGGAGAGGCUCGAAUCCACUUCCCACAUUGUGCGGGACCGAGCGCGCAGGGCGCUCUCGCGUGGCCUCCUUAGCUCGGGUUCAGCCGAGGCUCUCACGUACACUUCGUUACCCCUUCCCCCCGCCGCAGCUCUGGUCCUUCCUUCCACUGGCUCUCUUCUCUGGCCUAUGGAAACAACGAACUACUUUUCGCCUUUCAAGGCCCGGGUCCCAAGCCACCUCCUCUGUGAAGCCGCCAACACCCUGGUAGCUGCCUCUCAGUGUUUUGCAACUGGCACGGCCCUGUCCCUCGGUCCGCUUCUACUAGCGCUGGGGGUGCUGCGAGUCUUGCCCACUAGACUAGGAGCUCCUUGAGGGCAGGAACCGAAUCUGAUUCGUUUCCAUUUUCCCAGCCCCCCUGCGCGGCCUGGCGCAGAAAAGACGCGCAAUAAACAUUUGCUGAAUUGAA